AAGACACCCACCUAAGGUCCUCCUUCAGAGUCCUUUUCAAUGGAAUAUCUUUUUCUGAUUUUAGUGGGAAGAACCAGAAGACGGUGUCUGCCCUCACUUCAUCUUCCCCUGAAUACCCCUCUUACAUCAUCUCUCAGGAGCAACACCCUCCCCAACAGAAAGAGGAGGAGGAAGAGGAGGAGGAGGAGCUGUUGCCCCACUUGUUGCUGCCAGAAAGCAUUGACCUGUUGGAGAAAGUAGACCGAAAAUAUAAAAAGAAGAAAAAGAAGCAACAGAAGAAACAGCGGCUGCGUCAGUUCAAUGACCUCUGGGUACGCAUCGAGGAAAGCACCACUGAUCCACCACCUCGCAUUCGAAUAAUUAACGGCUACAUCACCGUAGAACCCCAGCCACGUGGGCGUGGACGAUCUAGUCACAUCCCGGCAAAUGCAAACUGCUCCAGUGCGCUGCUCCCAUUCCUUUCUACCUUGGCAUUGACUUUGGUGUUGUCUACAGUGACGAUUCUGCUGCUGGUGUGAAUCUCUCACAAAGAACUGCAUAAUUCCCCCCAUUUUAAAAAAUGGAUCUGGUGUGGAAAUGAAGAGGGUGGGUGGAAGAAAGACUUUUUUGAGUGAGAGAUCAUCUGUGUGGUGCUUGGGUUUUUUUUUUAAAGAGGCCUCAUCCUUUUCCUGAAUCUGGACCAUUAAUGUGAUUAACUGGCUUGCCCAAUACAGGAGAAGAUAUUUUUAAUGAAAGCCAUUAUUUAUCCUUCUCUUGCAGAAGAAUUAUUUCAUGUUAUCCCAUAAUGAUUUUGGGAGAUGUAUAUGUAACAUAGCUGUUAUUUAGCUGUAUGAAUGGAAAUGAAGGGGGGUGGUGGAAGAAAGACAUUUUUGAAUGAGAGAUCAUCUGUGCGGUGCUUGGUUUUUUUUUUUUUUAAGAGGUCUCAUCCUUUUCCUGAAUCUGGACCAUUAAUGUGAUUAACUGGCUUGCCCAAUACAGGAGAAGAUAUUUUUAAUGAAAGCCAUUAUUUAUCCUUCUCUUGCAGAAGAAUUAUUUCAUGUUAUCCCAUAAUGAUUUUGGGAGAUGUAUAUGUAACAUAGCUGUUAUUUAGCUGUAUGAAAUUGACUAAAAUACACUUUGUUUUGCAAUUUGUUGAUUCCACAUCAUUUCCUAUCUGGUGGUAAAGAAAGAAAGCUUUGCCAGCAGAAAGCGGUGACAACCUGAGUAAAGAUAGUACAGGCUUGUCUAUGCGGCUGGGCUGGAGUGGGCUGGAGCACGCUAAAUAGGAUUUCUAGAAGGUCUGCUAUACCAUUUUGUGUAGUCCUUGCAUCCAAUGGCAUAUAGAACUCAAGCAAUUCUAUUUGGUUUACAAUAGCCUGCUGUCAAUUUGCCAGCAUCAUGGAGUGGCUCAAAAGGAAAGCCAGUUUGUGAUAU
rnacentral:lncRNA from 1 species